rnacentral:rRNA from 1 species
ACCUUACCUACCCUUGACAUGUCUGGAAUGCCGAAGAGAUUUGGCAGUGCUCGCAAGAGAACCGGAACACAGGUGCUGCAUGGCUGUCGUCAGCUCGUGUCGUGAGAUGUUGGGUUAAGUCCCGCAACGAGCGCAACCCUUGUCAUUAGUUGCUACGCAAGAGCACUCUAAUGAGACUGCCGGUGACAAACCGGAGGAAGGUGGGGAUGACGUCAAGUCCUCAUGGCCCUUAUGGGUAGGGCUUCACACGUCAUACAAUGGUCGGGACAGAGGGUCGCCAACCCGCGAGGGGGAGCCAAUCUCAGAAACCCGAUCGUAGUCCGGAUCGCAGUCUGCAACUCGACUGCGUGAAGUCGGAAUCGCUAGUAAUCGCGGAUCAGAAUGUCGCGGUGAAUACGUUCCCGGGUCUUGUACACACCGCCCGUCACACCAUGGGAGUGGGUUUCACCAGAAGUAGGUAGCCUAACCGUAAGGAGGGCGCUUACCACGGUGGGAUUCAUGACUGGGGUGAAGUCGUAACA